AUUGAACGCUGGCGGCAGGCCUAACACAUGCAAGUCGAACGAGUGGCGGACGGGUGAGUAAUGACUGGGAAACUGCCUGAUGGAGGGGGAUAACUACUGGAAACGGUAGCUAAUACCGCAAACCAUCAGAUGUGCCCAGAGGGGAUUAGCUUGUUGGUGGGGUAACGGCUAACCAAGGCGACGAUCCCUAGCUGGUAUGCGAGGAUGACCAGCCAGACUGGAACUGAGAAACGGUCCAGACUCCUACGGGAGGGAGAAGUGGGGAAUAUUGCACAAUGGGCGCAAGCCUGAUGCAGCCAUGCCGCGUGUAUGAAGAAGGCCUUCGGGUUGUAAAGUACUUUCAGCGGGGAGGCGUUACCCGCAGAAGAAGCACCGGCUAACUCCGUGCCAGCAGCCGCGGUAAUAC
rnacentral:rRNA from 1 species